rnacentral:rRNA from 1 species
CCCUUAGAUGUCCUGGGCCGCACGCGCGCUACACUGAUGCAUGCAACGAGUUUAUAACCUUGGCCUGAAAGGUCUGGGUAAUCUUUUGAACGUGCAUCGUGAUAGGGAUAGAUUAUUGCAAUUGUUAAUCUUGAACGAGGAGUUCCUAGUAAACGCGAGUCAUCAGCUCGCAUUGAUUACGUCCCUGCCCUUUGUACACACCGCCCGUCGCACCUACCGAUUGAAUGGUUCGGUGAAGAUCUCGGACUUCGAUAUUUAUUCUUUAUUGAGUUUAUAUUGUGGGAAGUUAUCUAAACCUCAUCAUUUAGAGGAAGGUGAAGUCGUAACA